UACAGAGGGUGCAAGCGUUGUUCGGAAUUAUUGGGCGUAAAGCGCGUGUAGGCGGCUUUGCAAGUCGGGUGUGAAAGCCCUCAGCUCAACUGAGGAAGUGCGCCCGAAACUGCAGAGCUUGAGUACCGGAGAGGAUGGCGGAAUUCCCUAAGUAGAGGUGAAAUUCGUAGAUAUGGGGAGGAACACCGGUGGCGAAGGCGGCCAUCUGGACGGAUACUGACGCUGAGACGCGAAAGCGUGGGGAGCAAACAGGG
rnacentral:rRNA from 1 species